UGUCAGAUGAGUUAUUCCCAAAGCAGGAAGCCUUUAAAUUGGGGGUAAAUUAGUGUGUUUACGGAAAAUUUCUUUCGAAUAAUUGGUCCCACUUCAAUCCGGUGCAACUUUGUUUUGGGUCAGAUUCAGUUCAAUAGAAUUCCAGUCAAGGUAGGAGUUCAGUUAGCCUUUAAAGGGAGUUGACAACAAUCCUGGACUGGACAUACGCAAGGCAUGGAAUACAAUAGCCGGGUCCUGGAGCGUAUGCUUGAUGAUCCAGGACAGGCCGCAACUGAUCUGCCGUUAGAUCUUUUACGAAGCAUCACGCAAAAUUUCUCUCUCGAGAGAAAAAAUCGGUGCUGGUGGAUUUGGUGAAGUUUAUGAGGGUGUCCUCCCAAAUGGAUGCAUUGUUGCUGUAAAGAGGAUACCCAUGACUAUCCAUACAGUCGACGACAAACUAUUCAAUCGACAGGUUGGCGUGCUGUUGAAAACUCCUAUUGUGCAUCAAAAUGUAGUCCGGUUUCUUGGCUUCUGUUCCAAUACACAAGAUGGAGUGAUAAGAGAAUCGGAAGAAAUUCAUGUCGUCAAGAAAAAAGAAAGAUUACUAUGUUUCGAGUAUAUAAGCAAUGGAAGCCUUGAUAAACUUAUCACUGAUGAACUUAGGGGACUUGAAUGGAAUGCGCGUUACGACUUAUGGGUAUUUGCAAGGGUUUGCAAUAUCUUCAUGAAAAAUUGCAUAUUAUUCACAUGGAUCUUAAACCUUCCAACAUAAUGUUAGAUAGUUACAUGGUCCCCAAAAUCACAGAUUUUGAUCUAUCAAGAUGGGAUAAGAACACACACACGGCGGGUGACCUUUUCACGUCAGGAUGGUAUAGCACUCCAGAAUACAAGAAUGACAGGGUAAUGUCAACAAAAUGUGACAUGUUUAGCUUGGGUGUGCUAAUCAUAGAACUGAUAACUGGACACAAGGGCGUCCCUCAUAUAAAUAGUGUACUUCGGAGGUGGAGGCAUAGGUGGGCUAAAUUAGUGAGCCAUACGCCACUAAAGGACCAACAAGUAACUAAAUGCAUCGAAAUAGCGAAAAUAUGCUUGGAGAAAGAACCAAUGAACAGACCGUCCAUAUGUCAUAUGAUCCACCUACUCGAGAAUGUUGGAAAUACGAAUGGGCACAUGUUUGGCCAGAAUCUCAAACGGAUACAUUAAUUCUGGACAAGACAUCUCAUCCUAUCAAUUAUAGAAUUGGCGCAAUCAGGGUUCGACAUGGAUGAAUCUAUACAAUAUCCAGGUUGGAAGACAGAUCGGACCUGCAGCGAGAAGGCAACAUGGGUUGUGAAGGAGCUCCUUAUACAGGAGCUACCGCCCCCGCCGGCGGCUCAGGCCCACAUCUCGACGACUCUCCUCAGCUCCAUUGGGCAAGUCGCCACCACAGCUGGCGUUGUGGCCUCGCGCCCGCCAUGGUCGUCACCUCUCCAUAGCUCAUCAAUCUCACCCGCAAAAAAGCUCAUCAAUCUAUAUUAUGUACUGAGAGCACUCUGCAUUCAAUUGGGACUUGGGAGUAGAAAACCAGCAUCAAUACAAUAUGAAUUCCCAAUUUGUUGGAGAAUGAUCUGGUAGAAGGGAAAGCAGAGAAGACAAAACAACAAAAGAGGUGGGGAUGGAACAGCCGGACGGAGGAGACUAUAUGGACGCGAAAUCGACAUGGUAACUGAUCUAUAAUUAUCCGCCGUAGGGUGAGUGGCGCAGAUCGCGCGUCAUUAAAGUCCUGUAACGGUUGUACUUUAAUCUAUAGCGACAAUCGCUUCUCUCAUUACAUCACCGUGGCAUCGCCCCGAGAACCCUCUCGCCAGAAGUCACACGAACGAGGCGCAAAUCCAGACCGAUGAAGCGCAAACCCACCCCUUUUUCUGCUCGCGUGAUUGUGUUUUUUUUCACAAUAAAUUGGCCGAGAUAAAUUGGAUGAUAUAGGCCCAACUGGCCCAAAUUGCAGUAGGUUGCCGAUUUUGUUGCGGGAGCAUCGUCCCAGGGCGUCUAGCACCCCCCAGUGGGGCCGAACAUGCAUCCAACGACCAAAAAGUCCAAAACUUCUAGAUCUGACGGUCGAAAACGGUGAUGGUGUGAGAGGGCUGGAAGAGUGCUCGGUUAUAAUAUAUCUAAAUGCACGGGAUA